rnacentral:lncRNA from 10 species
GUGGCAACUCAUCUGGCCCUGUCUCCAGUGUACCCUGCUAUAGGAUGUCAGGCCCAGAAUCCCAGGAAGCAGGGGAGGAGAGGGAGGUACCUCUUCAUUUCAGGCCCAGGAUACAGCCCAGCUCUGCCGUGGCUGCGGACAGUGACAAUCUAUCUCUGCCUCCCAGGCCAGGAACAUGUUUUCACCGAGACCUACAAAGAGCAGUCACCGACCGUGCCCAGACACCUUGUGUAGAUCUGUGCUUAGCAAACUCAGAAGGCCCUGUCACCACCAGGAAGGAAGAGACCCCACGACUGAGGGCAGUGGUAGGUUUAGGGGCUGGCUGCAGGUGGGACCGAAAGGGAUAGCUGUGGACUGGCUGGCUUUGGGGGGGGGGUGAAGAGUGGAGGGGGUGAUGAUGCCUUCUAUGGGGAGGGGGACAUGCUAGAAACAGUUUUGGGGGAGGUGGGAAGGAGGGUAAGCAGAUGAAGGAUUUGGGUCUUGGACAUGCUGCUAGUUUGGCUUUGACGGUGCAGGUCCUCUGCUAUGAUGUGAGUGGCUGUGCCCGCCAGUUCCUCUUCUCACUCCCUUCUAGGGCUAUGAGAUUUGUGACCCUUUCCUCUGCCUGCCUCUGCCCCUGCCCAUUGGGACCCUGCUGGACCAGGCAUCCAUCCUAUGGAAAUCUCCAUGAAGCGUCGACCUCCCUGCCCCCCAGGCAUUGGGUGAGUGGCAAGUGAGAGCUGCUCACAGGGCAUCAAAGGGGUUC